AAAUUUGUGUAUGCCAGCACUAAUGCACCAGAUCUUCAUCAGAAUUCGACAGUUAAACGUGUUUAGAUGAGAGUAGUAUUAAGUUGGAUGACCACCCUGGAAGUUCUCGUGUUGCCUCUC
rnacentral:rRNA from 2 species